UACGUAGGGGGCAAGCGUUGUCCGGAUUUAUUGGGCGUAAAGAGCGUGUAGGCGGCCAGGUAGGUCCGUUGUGAAAACUCGAGGCUCAACCUCGAGACGCCGAUGGAAACCAUCUGGCUAGAGUCCGGAAGAGGAGAGUGGAAUUCCCGGUGUAGCGGUGAAAUGUGUAGAGAUCGGGAGGAACACCGGUGGCGAAGGCGGGUCUCUGGGCAUUCCCUGACGCUGAGGCGCGAAAGCGUGGGGAGCAAACGGG
rnacentral:rRNA from 1 species